UACGUAGGGUGCGAGCGUUAAUCGGAAUUACUGGGCGUAAAGCGUGCGCAGGCGGUUUUGUAAGACAGAUGUGAAAUCCCCGGGCUUAACCUGGGAACUGCAUUUGUGACUGCGAGGCUAGAGUACGGCAGAGGGGGGUAGAAUUCCACGUGUAGCAGUGAAAUGCGUAGAUAUGUGGAGGAAUACCGAUGGCGAAGGCAGCCCCCUGGGUCGAUACUGACGCUCAUGCACGAAAGCGUGGGGAGCAAACAGG
rnacentral:rRNA from 1 species